GCCACAUCCAUCCCAGCCUUCAGCAGCUCCCACCCUGAGCAGUCAGCAGUCAUCAACAUUGAGACAAGACCCUCUACUAGCAAAAAGAUUGCCACUUGCUGAAAGCUCCAAUGAAGGCCCAGCUGUUUCUCCACUGCAGGAUCAAGCUGCCUUAUAAUCUUAGAGUGCCCAGGUGGCAAGCCCAGAUCUCCUCUAGACCUUCUUCCCUGGACUUCAUGCAUAGGACAAACCCUCUACCCAUGUGUCCUCUCCCUUUGAUUGGCUAGUUCUUCGCAGAACCUCCAAGAUGUUCAGGAUGGCACCCAGGCCAACAACAUCUGCAUUUCUCUUUGGGCUGCACACUGAGUCUCCAGGUCCUCUCCACAAUGCCCUGAGGCCUGGUAAUUUCAAUCCCCUGCCCUUGCUUUUCAGCUUCCCGAUGAGCUGCCUUCUCCUAUUAAAAUGGAAUCUUCCUGAGGGCAAAGAUUAUCUUUUUUCUUGUAUUUGUUUUCCAGCACCAAGAACAGCACCAGAGUUUAAUAAAACCUUGUGUUCUUAAUGAUUUGACUUGCUAAUUGGCAAAUCAUCCCCAAACUGACCCCCUCUUCUUUGGCUAGGGAGAAAGGGCAAAUAUGUAGAUGUAAAAACAGUCAUUCCCCAAAGCAGCAUGAACAGAUAUACAAACAACCAAUCCCUAGUAUGAAUUUACAACUGACUAUUAAAAAAGACAAACUCAAGAAUUGUAGAUGCUAAAGUAAGUGUUUCAGUGGUACAUGGGCAGUGGGCUCUGUUUUCCUGUCUGUAGUUAUUAACAUUACCUGUGCUGCAAAAGCAAGAAAGUGUCCCAACUGGAAGAGCAGACUGGAUGAUUUAGGAAAGACUGCUCUAAAACUCAGUCUACCAGAGAGUCUCAAGUGUUCUUAAACAGUGUGGAGAAAGCACUCCAGAAGAGAGUCAGUGAGGAGAGAAAACAAUUUUCUGAGAGAGAAUGGAAGGAUACUUCUGUCAAGAGGAAAGUUGUUGGUGAAAGCAAGGAAUAAAAAACAAACAAACAUGGCGGAGCAGGGGAAGAAAAGAAACUCAUCAACAUUUGAACUGUCCACAGACAUGGGGCUUCUUUCAUGGAAGAUGAUUCUGAACAUUACCAAGAAGAAGCACCAAACAUUUUGGCAGAUGGGUGUUCUGCGAGGUGUUGAGUUCUACCCUGUUGAUGAGGGGACUUGAGUGAUUGGGCCUUGAUGAAAUAGUCCAAAGUCAAGAUCCCAAUAAGAGUGCAGCCAAGAGG